GCAGAAUUGAGUCUGUUUUCCCAGGA
rnacentral:rasiRNA from 1 species